CCAUCCUGCAACGGUAACUGUCUUCUCCCAUGUUAUCUGAAGUUGAUUAUGUAGGAUUACGGGGAGGCUACGCUAGCGCAAAACAAAAUUUUCAUCCCCAUAAUACCAAGAACUACUGCGGUUAUAGGUCAUGGAAUUACCACUAGACGCGCAGAGCAGCGGAAGACGUCUCGAUGUAGACGAACGCGUCGAGCAGUGUCGUGCAGUCGCCGGCGUCCUUCACGUCCUCGCACGGUUCGUCCAAGUGCUCCAGAUGCAGCACCUCCGAGGUAUCCACACGUACAGGGAGGAAGCGCCGCGUACCGAACUGCUAGGUUCGCGAUGGCGGCUUGGCGAGGGCGAGCGGCGGCUGCUGAUUUGCAGGUGGCGAAUUAGGUUAUCCCUUAACCGCGCCCCCGCCCCUCAUUAUAUAGGCGUUAUGGUGGGCUUCUGACGCCGAGGCCCAUCAUUAACCCUAAAGCCCAGUCUAAUUUCGGAUCUAAUCCGAAUUAGGCUUCCUUCCCCUUAAGUGUGUGACCCUAUAGGUUCACGUACAAAUAGACAUAGCCCGAGUACUCUUACUUGGCUCAAUAAUUGACAGCGGCCUUUAGCAAGACAUGUCAACUCCUAUGUGUACGUAAAGAUCAUAUCAGACGAACCAUUGCGACAUUAAGUACAUGCUGUUCCCUUUGUCUCACGAUAUUUGGUCUGGCUCUAAGCUGACCUCUCUUUCUCGAUACUGUGAAUUGGAAUCCUUUCAAUGGUUAACUCUUAACCCUAGCAUGGCCAUGCAUUUCUUGAUCCAAUCACUCGAGGGGCCCAGAGAUAUCUCUCUCACAAAGAGAGGGACAAGUCUCAUAGCAUGCUUCCUGACAAACCCAAAACUACCUUUAUAACUACCCAGUUACGGGAUAGCGUUUGAUAGUCCCUAAGUAAGUCAAUUCACAUCUUGAGAACAUGCGACAAUCUCAGGUCUAAGGAUACAGUAUUCAUGUUGCAAGAAGAGAACUAUAUUACAAUAUCUCACGUUGGGUCGGUCCAGCCUCAUGUCAUACAUGCGCCCACAUUAUUAAUUUAACAUCUCCAUGUUCAUGUGAUGUACGGAAAUACGUACACACGUCGGCACAGGGCACGCGACGUGCGGCGCGCGGCUGAGCGCGCAGGACGCCUGAUCCAGCAGGCAGCGCCUGAUCCAGCAGGCAGCCAGGCCUAGCGGCUAGAUCUGGAAAGAAUAAAAGUGAUUGAUGGCCUUCCUAUUAGUCUGGGCUAGAUUUAGAAGGAAUAGGAGUGAUCUGUGAUUGAUGGCUUUCCUUUAUUAGUCCGGGCUAGAUUUAGAAGGGAAUAAGAGUGAUUAGUGAUUGAUGGCUUUCCUUUAAUAAUCUGGGAUAGAUUUAGAAGGGAAUAAGAGUGAUUAGUGGCUUCCUUUAGUAGCCCUGGCCUAUGGCUUUAUAUACCCCUGUAAGCACCCAUGAUGAGGACAAGAAAGUUUUAUCUCCAUCUCCUACCUCUCUCUACUCGGCAACAGGGGGCAUAACCCGUUGACGAAAACCGCCGUUCCUGGGGGCAUAACCCGGUCGGCAACACGGACGGCGGCUACGACCUUCGGAGCCGCGGUCCUCCUACCCUCGGGCCCGACGCCCUUGACAACCUGGUAUCAGGAAGUCGGCGAUCCCCAACCACCACCCCCAGCCCUUCAGCCGCACCACCACCACCAGCCACCACCUCCCCGUCCACCGCUACGUCCAGGUUCAUCACCAUGGGUGACGGCGCUCAACCCUCCAUGGCCGACGUCAUGCAGAUGCUCCAGACCCUGUCCACCAACAUGUCCAAAAUGCAGUCCGACAUGGUGGUCAUGCAGGAGAAGGUCGCCUCCGCGACCGACUACGGCGGCCACCAAGAUGGGCAGCCCCGCACGGAUCACCCGCCGAAGUUCCAGCGGAUGGAGUUCCCGCGCUAUGACGGCAAAUCCGACCCGCUGAUCUUCAUCAACAAGUGCGAGUCGUACUUUCGACAUCAACGCACCAUGCCGGAGGAAAAGGUAUGGAUGGCAUCUUACAACAUGGACGACGUGGCCCAGCUGUGGUUCCUCCAACUCCAGGAGGAUGAGGGCACGCCGCCCUGGGGUCGCUUCAAGGAACUCCUCAACCUCCGGUUCGGACCAGCGCUGAGAUCAGCGCCGCUGUUCGAGCUGACGGAGUGUCGACGCACGGGAUCGGUGGAAGAAUAUUCCAACCGCUUCCAGGCCCUUCUUUCGCGUGCUGGCCGGCUGCAGGAAAGCCAGCGCGUACAACUGUACACAGGGGGGCUGCUGCCGCCGCUGAGCCAUCAGGUCCGCGUUCACGCGCCGGAGUCCCUGGCCGCAGCCAUGAGCCUGGCCAGGAUGCUGGAACUGGUGGAGCUAGACCGGCUCAACCCCCUACUCGGUCGGGCGGCCCCGCGCGCGGCCCUGCCCGCUCUACCUACGCGGCCAGCGCUGCCAGCGGCCGGCGCGCCUCCGGUGCUUCCCGUACCGGUUCCCCCAGCACAGCAGCUGGCCCUCCCGGCGCCUCCUCCACGCGGCGCAGCUGGGGCUGCCAAGCGCCUUACGACGGAGGAGCAGGCGGAACGUCGUCGUCUUGGCUUGUGUUACAACUGUAAUGAGCCGUACUCCCGCGGGCACAAUCGGGUGUGUCGCCGUGUCUUCUACAUUGACGGCUUCGAGCUGGAGGACGCUGCCCAGGAGGCUGACGCCGUCGACACCUCCGCACCAUUGUUCUCCCUUCGCGCUGUGGCUGGUAUGCCCAUUUGUGACUCCAUGCAGGUGCGCGUGCAAGUGGGCGCCGUGACGCUGACCGCCCUUCUGGACACUGGCUCCACGCAUAACUUCAUCGCCGAGGCCGCAGCGUCACGCACGGGGCUUGCUGUCGAGACCAGCCCACGCCUCACGGCCACCGUGGCGAAUGGCGAGCGCAUCGCCUGCCCGGGUGUUUUCCGUCAGGCCCCGAUCACCAUCGCAGGCGAGGACUUUUGCGUCGACCUCUAUGUGAUGCCACUGGCCGGCUACGACGUCGUCCUCGGCACCCAGUGGAUGGUCACGCUAGGCAAGAUGGUGUGGGACUUCACCACGCGCACCGUGGCCUUCACACGCCAUGGCCGCCCCGUCUGCUGGGAGGACGUGGCCGCCCGGCGCACACCGCGCCUCGACAGCAUCACGGCGCCCGAAGCCUUGCUGGAGGAGCUGCUGACCACGUUCGAUGGCCUCUUCGCCGAGCCCUCGGGCCUGCCACCGCCGCGGGCGCGUGACCACAGCAUCGUACUCAAGUCGGGCACACUGCCGGUAGCGGUCCGGCCGUACCGUUACCCGGCGGCCCACAAAGAUGAGUUGGAGCGACAAUGUGCCGCAAUGAUCGCACAAGGCAUCGUGCGUCGCAGCGACUCCGCGUUCUCGUCCCCGGUCCUCCUCGUCAAGAAGCCGGACGGAUCGUGGCGUUUCUGCGUCGACUACCGGGCGCUUAACGCGCUCACGAUCAAGGACGCAUUCCCUAUCCCAGUCGUCGACGAGCUGCUGGACGAGCUCCACGGGGCAUGCUUCUUCACCAAGCUCGACUUGCGCUCCGGGUACCACCAGGUCCGCAUGCGGCCGACUGACGUGCACAAGACGGCGUUCCGCACACAUGACGGCCUCUACGAGUUCCUGGUCAUGGCGUUCGGGCUGUGCAACGCUCCCGCCACGUUCCAGGCCAUGAUGAACGACGUCCUGCGCCCCUUCCUCCGCCGCUUCGUGCUGGUAUUUUUUGACGACAUUUUGAUUUACAGCCGCACAUGGGCGGACCACCUUCGUCACCUGCGUGCUGUCUUCGGCGCGCUUCAACAGCACCAGCUCUUCGUCAAGCGCUCUAAGUGCGCUUUCGCGGCCUCCUCCGUCGCGUACCUGGGACAUGUUGUCUCGGCGGCCGGAGUCGCCAUGGACCCCGCCAAGGUGCAAGCGGUGCGCGACUGGCAGCAGCCGCGGUCGGCCCGCGCGGUUCGCGGUUUCCUCGGUCUUGCCGGGUACUACCGGAAAUUCGUGCACAACUAUGGCACAAUCGCCGCGCCGUUGACCGCCCUGCUCAAGAAGGACGGGUUCCUGUGGUCGGACGAAACGGCGGCUGCCUUCGCCGCUCUAAAGGAGGCGGUCACGUCGGCCCCGGUACUCGCCAUGCCGGACUUCUCCAAGACGUUCGUCGUCGAAUGCGACGCUUCGUCCCACGGCUUCGGGGCGGUGCUGGUCCAGGACAGCCACCCCGUGGCCUUCUUCAGUCGGCCCGUGGCGCCUCGUCACCGCGCCCUAGCCGCCUAUGAGCGGGAGCUGAUCGGCCUCGUCCAGGCAAUCCGCCAUUGGAGGCCCUACCUUUGGGGGCGCCGAUUCGAAGUCAAGACCGAUCACUACAGCCUCAAGUACUUGCUGGAUCAGAGGCUGUCCACCAUACCACAACACCACUGGGUGGGCAAACUUCUCGGCUUCGACUUCUCCGUCGAGUACAAGCCGGGACAUACCAAUGCCGUCGCGGACGCGCUCUCACGCCGCGACACACCGGAGGAGGGCUUGGUGCUGGCCUUGUCCGGACCACGCUUCGACUUCAUAGAUCGGCUCCGUCAGGCACACACCGUCGACCCCACGCUCGCGGCCCUCCAGCACGACAUCAGCAGCGGCGCCAGGUCACGGCCCUGGGCGCUAACCGACGGCCUCGUCCACUAUGCGGGCCGGCUGUACAUUCUGCCCGCCUCCCCGCUGCUCCAGGAGAUCUUGGUGGCGGUCCACGAGGAAGGCCAUGAGGGCGUACAGCGCACCCUGCACCGACUCCGGCGCGACUUCCAUUUUUCUCACAUGAAACGUGUGGUGCAGGAUCUGAUUCGUGGCUGUGCAGUCUGCCAACGCAACAAGCCCGACCAUCAGCACCCGGCCGGCUUGCUGUUACCCCUGCCGGUGCCGCAAGGGGUAUGGACGGACAUCGCCAUGGAUUUCGUCGAAGCGCUGCCUCGCGUCCGCGGCAAGACCGUCAUCUUCACGGUGAUAGACCGCUUCAGCAAGUAUGCACAUUUCGUUCCCCUGGCGCACCCGUACACGGCCGAGUCUGUGGCGCAGGCAUUCUUCACCGACAUCGUCCGUCUCCACGGCAUUCCCCAGUCGAUCGUCUCUGACCGGGACUCGGUGUUCACCUCCAACUUCUGGACCGAGCUGAUGCGCUUGAGCGGUACCAAGCUACAGAUGACCACGUCAUUUCAUCCCCAGUCAGACGGCCAGUCCGAAUCGGCGAACAAGGUCAUCAUCAUGUAUCUCAGGUGCUUGACGGGAGAUCGACCCCGCGACUGGUUGCGCUGGCUCCCAUGGGCGGAAUAUAUCUUCAACACCGCUUUCCAGUCGUCCCUGCGCGACACGCCGUUCCGCGUCGUCUAUGGCCGCGACCCUCCCUCACUUCGCUCCUACGAGCAGGGGGCAACGCGGGUGCCUGCGGUGGCCAGGACUUUGGAGGAGCGCGUGGAGUUCCUGGCAGAUAUCCGUCACCGGCUGGAGCAGGCCCAGGCUGUCCAGAAACAUCAUUAUGAUCGUCUACAUCGUGACAUCGACAUACAGGUCGGCGAGUGGGUGCUGCUUCGUCUACGCCAGCGCCCGACGGCCUCCAUGCCCGACUCGUCGGCUGGCAAGCUGAAGCCGCGGUUCUACGGCCCUUACCGCGUCGUCGAACGCAUCAACGCCGUGGCUGUCCGCCUGGCCCUGCCUCCUCAAGCUCGCCUCCACGACGUCUUCCACGUGGGGCUUCUCAAGAAGUUCCACGGCGCGCCUCCGCAAGAGCCUCCAGCUCUACCUCCGGUUCGCCACGGCGCAGUUAUUCCAGAGCCAGAGCAAGCAGUCAAGAUGCGGCUGCUCAGGGGAGUUCGGCAGGUCCUCAUUCGCUGGCGGGGAGCCUCUCCGGCAUCGGCUACCUGGGAGGAUGUGGACACAUUUCGCGCUUCAUACCCACUAUUUCAGCUCGAGGACGAGCUGCCUCUCGAGGAGGGGAGAGAUGUGAUGUACGGAAAUACGUACACACGUCGGCACAGGGCACGCGACGUGCGGCGCGCGGCUGAGCGCGCAGGACGCCUGAUCCAGCAGGCAACGCCUGAUCCAGCAGGCAGCCAGGCCUAGCGGCUAGAUCUGGAAAGAAUAAAAGUGAUUGAUGGCCUUCCUAUUAGUCUGGGCUAGAUUUAGAAGGAAUAGGAGUGAUCUGUGAUUGAUGGCUUUCCUUUAUUAGUCCGGACUAGAUUUAGAAGGGAAUAAGAGUGAUUAGUGAUUGAUGGCUUUCCUUUAAUAAUCUGGGAUAGAUUUAGAAGGGAAUAAGAGUGAUUAGUGGCUUCCUUUAGUAGCCCUGGCCUAUGGCUUUAUAUACCCCUGUAAGCACCCAUGAUGAGGACAAGAAAGUUUUAUCUCCAUCUCCUACCUCUCUCUACUCGGCAACAGGGGGCAUAACCCGUUGACGAAAACCGCCGUUCCUGGGGGCAUAACCCGGUCGGCAACACGGACGGCGGCUACGACCUUCGGAGCCGCGGUCCUCCUACCCUCGGGCCCGACGCCCUUGACAGUUCAUGACUUGUGAAAUGUAGUCAUCAACUAAUACAUGUGCUAGUCAUCGACUCUGACUAGGGACAUCAUUUAGAAUAACCAUAUAAGUAAAGAAUCUCACAAACAAUUCACAUAAUUGCUAAUCAAUACAAGGUGUCUUCCAUGGAUAUUCAAUUAAGCAAUAUAUAUAUCAUAGAUACAAAGAAAUAUGCUCAUCUCUAUGAUUAUCUCUAGGGCAUAUUUCUAACAGAUUAGCAGCGCUGUCUAUAUAUACCUGAUCCAAAUGAUUGCGAUAGACCUGCGCACAGCAAUCGAUAAGCUUAAUGAGAGCGUUGGUAACCGUGUCCAGUUAUUCGAAGCAUAUAUUCUAGUUCUUAUCAUGGAAAAAAAAAAGAGGAGUAUGAAGAAAUCCAGUGGUAGACCGCAGGUAGCUUGUAGCGGUUCUCUCUCUGGCUGAAGUAGUAAGGAAUGGAAGGCUGCACAUGCGGAGUUUUGCACUGGAUAACUAACUCCACGUGCUAUUCUACUACUACCUGUCCAACCCUUCACAAAAACCCUAAGUAACAGGAUUUGUAUUCUUUAAGCAUUAGAUAACCACAAGCUUUAGAAGCCGGUAACCCACCUGUCAUGAGCUGCCACCAGAACAGAGAAUAUGUGAAUGCUUACACUAGUCUAUGCAAGUCUUUGGGCACUGGAGCUUAAACGGCACGCACCCCUCCCCAUGUGGGCAGAUAAGAUAACGACGUCCCUGAGAAUGGGGAACCGACCCACGCCCCUCUUCUCAUGCUGCACCCACCGGCCACCGACGCUGGAGUGAAUUCACCGACCGUGGCUCGUUUCGCCGUCACCCAGAAGGAGACGUGUAGCUCGCGCUGAAGAGAUUGGAUGUUUGUUUGGUUUGAUGGUUCGUUUUGGCGCUGCCUGCCACUGCAGUCUGCAGCACAGUGAUCAAUGGCGUUUGAUAGCAGCCUAUUGGGGGAUCCCAGACCUGGUCAGUCCAUUUUAUUUCAUCACCAUUCAUGGGUGUUACGGCCUGUUUGGAUCAACCAGAGCCAGUUAUUAGCUGGGCUAGAAGUUAGCCUAAAUUAGCUGGAGUUGGCCACCUAAAAGAUUGUUCGGUGGGUGGAUUGAAAGAAAUCGGAGGGAAUUAGAUCCAGUUCUAUUCAAAUUUAUUAAGAAGAUUUAAUCCCUUUCAAUCCACCUCAAAACGAAUAAACCCUAGGCUAUAUAUUUAAACAAACCCUUACGUACGGGCGUGUAGGUGUAGCUGAUGGUGAUGGUAUAGCCAAAUGGAUCGUAUUAAAUGGACCGACACUAAGCACGACAUGGCCCGUAGUACUUCGGCACGGCACGAACAUGAUUCAUAUAGUGACAGUGUCGGCACAACACGGAUCUAAUGCCGUGUUUGGGCCGCCACCCCGGCACGAUGGGCUGACACGAGCACAACAUGAUUAAGUGAUCGAUACGGUUAGGCAUGACUUAGACUAACCGGUAGUAUAUAGAUGUGUUUGUGAUAUUUGCAUGUGAUUGUAAAUUGUUAUUUGUUAUGAUUUUAAACCUAAUGAAUUUACUUUAUAAUGGUAUAGAUAUCUAAUUGUGAGUGCUAGUGACAGUGCAGUGACUUGCCUGACUACCCGUUUGCAGGUGAUGGGCGGUGGGUGCCGACAUGUCCACAGGACAUCCCGCCCGUUGAAUUGUCUGCAAGGAGUAUGCAUUAUGACACAGUAGCUAGCUAGUGACUUUAUUAUAUUAUAUGUUGAUGUGAUGCCUAACUGUCUCACAUUUAUAGCUGAAUGGACGAGCGGAUUUGGCAUGACUUAUGUAUUUACGCG
rnacentral:lncRNA from 1 species